CUUUGGCCUUCGUCUCACUGAGCAUCUUUUCCCAUCGCUGACCAAUCGUCAACUUUUCGACUUUUACCUCCACUGUAAAGAACUAUUGGUGGCAAAACAUUUCGGGAUAUAAUCUCAGAGCUACGCCACAUCCUGCUACCUUGAUCUAUCGAAGACGCCAGUGCAGGGACAACCCGGCUCAAUACUAAUUAAAAUAAAUGAACAUUUACGUCGUCACAGCAGGUGGAUGUGAGGGCGAGAGGCCAGGAGUCCGGGCGAAAGAUUAGGUGACGAGCCCGGGCCAACGGAGACAUCAUUAAAAUGCAUGGUUCAAACGCAUUUGCAGCUAGCGAAAUCCUUAGCAAUGCCAUACAUCAAUUCAUGGCAUACUUGAAAUGCAAAUGUCUUGGCAGUAAACUCUGAUCAAUGCCCGCGCGGAUAUGCAUGCGAACCAAUAAAUCAAGUCAAAGCCAGAGAGGCGAGCCAGCCCCCAGUUGCCAUUCAAGGAUGAAGUCAAGAUAGCAACCACACACACUCACACACGCGAGAAGCACUCACAAGGACUCAAACCCAAACACACACAUGCACACACACACACUCCCAUAUGCGACAAGUUGGCGGCCACAAUCUUGGAUUUAUACGGCUUCGAGUGGCUUCGGUGGCUAAGAGGAAAAUAGGUAGGCGGCAGGAGGUGGGGCACUCAAGUUGCCU